CGGAGCUUUGACUUUUGGUAUGCCACCAUACUGUUGUUGCAGCCGCUGCCGGUGAUGGAGGCCCCAAAAGUAGUAGUAGCUACAUUUGUUGUGCAUAAGUACCGUAUGCACCGAAGACCUCCGUAACAUUAGAGUUGAAUUUCUUGCAUAGCCCGAUUUGGCUGGAGAACCUAAAAAUUACCACCGGCAUCACUGUUAGCGUAAAUCUUCGUUUAAAGAAGUACCGAAAUGCAACAACAAACGCUGCAGACAAAAGGAACAAUUUGCUGACGUCACGCCGGUAUGCUACGACAGGCAAACAAAAUUGAGAGUGAUUUGAGGCCGAAAAAUCAGGUGGAAAAUCGGGUAAUAAAAUUAUUGAGGAAAUAACGAGAACGUGGGGAAAAUACUUAGCCUGGCUAGAAAUGUACAUAUAGAUAUUGUAGUUUUGUUUAUUUCAUCAUUUUCAAUAUACAUAUUUCAUUACAUCUAAGACAUAACAUGUGAUUUGUAAAGAAAAAUACUAACAAAUAAUGUAUUAAGUAUAACAUAAGUAUAGAUAACUUUUUUAAUCUUACCAAUUAUCUUAUGCACCUUUAUAAAUUUCAUAUACGACUCUCAGUUGAAUCAAAAGUAGUUUCCCAUUUCUCUCCAUUAUUCAUUACCAAGUUUUAAGCCAAUGAAAAUGAAUUUUUGAUCUACAUAUGUAUGUAUAAUUCCCAAUUAGGCCGCACAAUAAAGAAUGCUGACUAAACGAGGCACAACCUUUUAAA